AUUGAACGCUGGCGGCAGGCCUAACACAUGCAAGUCGAACGAGUGGCGGACGGGUGAGUAAUGUCUGGGAAACUGCCUGAUGGAGGGGGAUAACUACUGGAAACGGUAGCUAAUACCGCAUACCAUCGGAUGUGCCCAUAUGGGAUUAGCUAGUAGGUGGGGUAAAGGCUCACCUAGGCGACGAUCCCUAGCUGUUCUGAGAGGAUGACCAGCCCUACUGGAAGUGUGACCCGGUCCAGCCUCCUACGGGAGGCAGCAGUGGGGACUAUUGCACAAUGGGCGCAAGCCUGAUGCAGCCAUGCCGCGUGUAUGAAGAAGGCUUUCGGGUUGUAAAGUACUUUCAGCGGGGAGGCGUUACCCGCAGAAGAAGCACCGGCUAACUCCGUGCCAGCAGCCGCGGUAAUAC
rnacentral:rRNA from 1 species